UACGUAGGGUGCAAGCGUUGUCCGGAAUUAUUGGGCGUAAAGCGCGUGUAGGCGGCUUUGCAAGUCGGAUGUGAAAGCCCUCGGCUCAACCGAGGAAGUGCGUUCGAAACUGCAGAGCUUGAGUGCCGGAGAGGGUGGCGGAAUUCCCCAAGUAGAGGUGAAAAUUCGUAGAUAUGGGAGGAACACCGGUGGCGAAGGCGGCCACCUGGACGGUCACUGACGCUGAGACGCGAAAGCGUGGGUAGCAAACAGG
rnacentral:rRNA from 1 species